ACAAGCGGUGGAGCAUGUGGUUAAUUCGACGCAACGCGAAGAACUUACCAGGCUUGACAUCCCCUGACCGCGUAUGAAAGUACGUUUUCACCCUCGGGUGACAGGGAGACAGGUGGUGCAUGGUUGUCGUCAGCUCGUGUCGUGAGAUGUUGGGUUAAGUCCCGCAACGAGCGCAACCCCUACGUUUAGUUGCUAACGCGUGAAGGCGAGCACUCUAGACGAACUGCCGUUGACAAAACGGAGGAAGGUGGGGAUGACGUCAAAUCAUCAUGCCCCUUAUGUUCUGGGCUACACACGUGCUACAAUGGCCGGUACAGACGGACGCAAAGCCGCGAGGUGGAGCAAAUCCUAAAAAGCCGGUCUCAGUUCGGAUUGCAGGCUGCAAUUCGCCUGCAUGAAGUCGGAAUCGCUAGUAAUCGCAGGUCAGCAUACUGCGGUGAAUACGUUCCCGGGCCUU
rnacentral:rRNA from 1 species